ACUAUUUUGCCACCAGUAUGUGGGUGGUUGGAGGAAAUGGAAAAAAUAGAAAUUCACAAUGCCUAAUGAUUUAUUAAUGAGUUUCAUCUUCUCUCUGGAAUGGGGACCACUAAUUACAUGUGUGUCUAAUCACUGGCUGCGGAUGGAAUGCUGCAGCAUCAGCCGAGCCCCAGAGGGGACCCAGGUGGAGUUAAUGAAGUAAAGACUGGGUGGAUAAUUUUAGCAUCUUGGGCCAGAUCUGGGCUAUGCCAUUCUUCACCCCCAGCCAACCCAGGAGUUCCUAAGACUUAGCAUUGCUGGCCCUCCAGGGCAACUGCAGAGGCAGAGGCAAAUCCAAGCGCUUUGGAACGGUGGAAUGGGAGCCUUGGGGAGGCCCAUCCUGGGCUGCAGUUCCAGGUCUUCACUUUGUAGAUGAGUAAACUGGUGCACAGAAGCGACUUGUCCUGGACCCCAGGAUUCACACUCAGAGUUGCGCUUUCCUGUGUCGUAGCAUCUGCCCACUGGAGAAGAAAACAAACGAGAGUUCUCUCUCACUUUUAUGUGUGGACUCCUGCUGCGCAUCAGCCGAGUGGGACAGAACGCCUCGACUUGGACCUGAAGCCCGGGAGCCUUCUGUGACCAGCAAGGCGUGGAGAAGUCACCCCAGUCCGUCGUCUGCUCACCUGUGAAACAACCCAAAACCCCAUCUUCACUUUGUCUCACGAAACUGAGGCGUUGAGGCUAUGGUGGACUUUCCAAGCCCCUAUCCAGAGAGCGCCACUAACCCAACAUUGUGCAGACCAAGGGGCACCAUCAGUGACAGCGUGUCAUCUGUGGCAGACUGGAGUUUGAGUGGCAGAAAGAUUCACAGAAAAGAGUGGGAACCAAAACCCCAAACCCCAGAUAAACAGAAGAUCGGCCCCACUGCCAUCUGCCCGGGGCUAGCUGCUGAAAAGGACUUUCUCAAACCAGCAGCCCCUAAAGCCACCCCGCGUAAAUGCCAGGGGAGAAUCAGUGUGAAGAAGCUCGAAAAUCCAGAAUAUUUGUUCCUUGCAGCUUUGGCUGAGGGCGGAGUCUUCCCUUAAC